GCUAAUAUGGGGCCGGAAGCCGCGGUAUUCCGGAGGUUCCAAACGUUAGCCGGAUUGAUUGGGCGUAAAGCGAGCGCAGACGGUUAUUUAAGUCUGAAGUGAAAGCCCUCAGUGCAACUGAGGAAUUGCUUUGGAAACUGGAUGACUUGAGUGCAGUAGAGGAAAGUGGAACUCCAUGUGUAGCGGUGAAAUGCGUAGAUAUAUGGAAGAACACCAGUGGCGAAGGCGGCUUUCUGGACUGUAACUGACGUUGAGGCUCGAAAGUGUGGGUAGCAAACAGGAUUAGAUACCCCGGUAGUC
rnacentral:rRNA from 1 species